AUGAGCUCAAGUGAUCCACCCACCUUGACAUUCCAAAGUGCUGGGAUUACAGACGCGAACCACCAUGCCCAGUCAGGACUGCGUUUUUAAUGAUGUGGGUGACUGUGUUUGAUGAUGUGGGUAACUAUGUCCUUUGAGGCCCAAGGGCAAGUCUCUGAUAGAGCCUGUCAGGUUUGGGGUAUCCUGCUUGGGUAUUGCUCAAAGGUUUGCCAACAGACCCAUGAAUGGCGUCCCUAGGAAUCUCUAGGAAUCUUUUCCUUGAUGGGCUGCAAACCUGGUGGCUGCAAACCUGAGCCCCGUCCCUGGCAGCCUCCUGGGUCUACCCCUUCCUUUUCCCAUGGGCACAUCUAGGCCUCAUGCCCAGAGAACUCCCUCACCCUGCAGCACAGUCUGAGCUCUGGGCUGGGAGGCAUCAGGAGAAGGGCAAAGGCUAUAGUCAGUGUUGGAGGACAGCCACAUGGGCAGCAGCUGGCCUCAGCACCUGUACAAUCUGGGAAGAGGGGUCUUGGGGUGCCACUUGGGCAGGGGGUAAUCCUGGCACCAGGGAUUCAGAGGCAGUGGUCAGUUCAGAGGUAUAAGGGUUUGGUGGCAGGUGGCCAAGCCCUGAUGAGGGGUUGGAAAAGAGGGUCCAAGCUGGCCCUAUGCUUAGGCUGUGGGGGCGUCAGGGGCCCAGGCAUCAAAGAGUUUAGGGUGUGAUGUGGGCUUGGGGGCCAACAUGAAAAGCCCACUGAUUCAGUCUUCAGGGAGUGGUGCGGUCUGCGCCUCAGUCCAGUCUCGUUUAAUGUGAAGGUGGUGGGCACAGAGCGGCUGGGAGGUGGGGUGAGGGGAGGCCACCCUGUGGACGACAGUGUCAGGACCCAGAAGGCACUCAACCAAGUGAAACUUUGGGCAGAGGCUGAAAGACACAUGCAGCAAGGCCAGAGGCGACAUGCCCCCAUAGGCCAGCAUUUAGGAAAUAUUCUCUAAUGCAUGAGUGUGGUGGUCAGGGUCAGACAGCUGCACUCAGCUUUCGACUCUCCAGCUGUGUGACCUUGGGAGGGUUAUGUAACCUCUCUGAACCUCAGUUUCCUCCUAGGCACAAUGCAGAUACUUUCAAAAAAAAAAAAAUCUCAUAGUGAGAUUGGAAGGAUCAAGUUGUCAUUACUACUGUUAUUCUUGUUAUUUAAAAAGCUGUACAGGUCCAGGAAGGAAGGACUGUCUUGACAGGAAUCCAGACAAAAAAGAUCCAGGGUUUUGGCCAAUCUCAAAUUUGUAUGAGGGUCUAAUAUGGAUGGUGAGAUCUGUGACAUAUAAAAGAAGGCAGUGAUCCCUGGAGCCAACAUGGGUUCACCAAGACCGGGCACAGCUCUUAGGUUCUUGACAGCUUAAUGACUCGUGGGUAAAGAAAACGAGCCAGCAUGAGUGGAGAGGAAUCUGUGAUUUAUUGAGCACCAAUUGUGUGCUGGACACUUCACACACAUGGUUUUAUUUAAUCCUCAUGAGCUGUGGAUUAAACAAGAUGUGACAAUCUCCAUUUUACUGAUGAGAAACUGAGUCUCCGGGAAGUGACUUGCCCAAGGUGGUUGGAGCUAGGAUUCAAAUCUGGAUCUGUCUAACCCUUUCUGCCAUAUCAUACUGUCUCCUAAGACACUGGGUAGAGUCCCUCGUGGCUCUUGAGGACAUGAAGGAUGUCUGAGAGGGCACAAAGGGGGCUCCCAUUGGGCCAAACAACAGCCAUGAAAUGUUCACGUAAGUGUAACCAGGUCAGUCUACAGGCAGUGAUAGACACUGCCAUGGGACUGUCCACCCUGCUUUGUUCAGUCUAUGCCAAGGACCUAUAAGAAGACAUGGAGGGUGUAGGCCUAUAAAAGUUGGAGGUGGUAGAAAGCUCCAAGGGACAGAGAAAAUCUCAGCAGAGUCAGGAUUUAGAAAGAUCUUGACAGGCUGGCGUGGCAAGGUGAAUUUAGCAUGAAGAAAUAUCACAGGGAAAAAUGCUGAGGCCCAUCUUGACUACAGGAAACAUUGUAGAAGGAUGGGCAGCUCAAGAGAAGGAUUUAGAAGCUCAAGUGCCAGUAAGUUCGGUAUGAGUCGGUAGGCUACGUUGAUAGAAAUAUGUUGUUUGGGACAAGGGAGGGGGGCCUCUCUCUAGCCUCAGUUCACACUCUGCCCUGGGGCAGUUUCUACUGUACAUAUUUGAAGGUCAUGUGCUAUUUUCUGUUUUUCCAGUUCUUUCCCUUUCUUUUCAAGUUCUUAGGGGAGGCAGAGUCCUUCCGGAGUUUGACCUUUGGAUUCCAUCCAGAGCAGCCUCCAAAAUGACACCUUUGAAGUUGUGUAUCGAGCUGGGGGAUGUAAAGGGAGGAGAAGAAAGAAGAUGAAGAGACACCAGCCAGCCUUGAGUGGACAUCCUGCCUGGUGAAACUGAACAAGACACCGACCGCAUGGGCUGGGAGCAGAUACAGGCCAAGGAUACGUGCUGACAAGACAGGUCAGGAAGCUGUGCGUCAGUUCAGCAGGAGAUGGUGGUGGUCCGUCAGGGUGGCAGAGUGGGGACGCUGAGGAUAGCACCUGUUCAUAAGGUAUUUGGGAAGUGGAAUAGAUAGGACUUGUUGAUUGAUUGGAUAUGGGGAGUGGGGAAGAGUGAAGAGACGAGGACUCUCGGGUUCUGGCUCGGUGAUAUUCACUGAGACGGGACACAGAGGAGGAGAGAGGGAUUUUUUGGAAACAAAGAUGAGCUGAGUUUUAGAUUCGGUGAGUCUGAGGUAUCAAUGGAGCAGUGUGUAAUGUCUCAUUCAUUCAUUAAUUAUUUACUGAGCACUUACUAUGUGCCAGCCAUGCCUGGAUACUGCUUUUCUGUAGCUGUCAGCCUAGAGGGGCAUUCAGAAAGUUCUUCUGUACAUUGAAUAUUGAGCUGCUGAGCUUUUACCCAUUGGCCUUCUUCUGCCCUUCAGGACUUCACUGGCAUCUACUCUCCUUCAGAGAUUAGAGAUCAGUGAUUGUGGUUCCCUGCAUCAUCUUUGUUUCUGGGAACAGGGAGCUGUGGAGGGAAUGUAGACUUUAGAAAAUUAUAAAGGCCUGGAUUUCAGCCCAAGUACCUUUUGUAUGAUCUCAUUUGUUAGGUGGGUUUACCGACACCUUUUGUUUUUGUUUUUGUUUUUUUGAGAUGGAGUUUCGCUCUGUCCCCAGGCUGGA